UACAGAGGGUGCUAGCGUUAAUCGGAUUUACUGGGCGUAAAGCGUGUGUAGGCGGUUCGUUAAGUCGGGUGUGAAAUCCCUGGGCUCAACCCGGGAAUUGCAUUCGAUACUGGCGAGCUAGAGUACGGUAGAGGGCGGCGGAAUUCCGGGUGUAGCGGUGAAAUGCGUAGAGAUCGGAAGGAACGCCAGUGGUGAAGACGACUACCUGGACCAAUACUGACACUGAGGCGCGAAAGCGUGGGGAUCAAACAGG
rnacentral:rRNA from 1 species